CCCACACAGCCCUUAGGACGGGGGUGUCUUCAGCUCCUCCUCCUCCUCCCCCAGGGCCCUGCCCCACACAGCCCUUAGGACGGGGGUGUCUUCAGCUCCUCCUCCUCCUCCCCCAGGGCCCUGCCCCACACAGCCCUUAGGACAGGCGUCUUCAGCUCCUCCUUUGGUGUCAUCGCUUUGACACAGACGGUACCACUGUUUGCUCUAUGAAGACACGUCUGCUUCCAGCUGUAGCCGAGGCUUCUUUUAGCCCAUUAACUUUGGCUCCAAGCUGGACCUGUUUCUCUUUGUCACCAUGGACCUCCUUUCGCUACGUGGGGAAGCCACUGGGAUUUAGAGGGUUGGAAUCUCUUGCCCAAGAUCUGACACCUAGGAAGUUCAGGAGCCCCUUCUGGGGACCUACAGUCCCAUCUAAGGAUGGAAUCCUGCUGGAAGAAGAAAGGAGGUGUAUUCAGGGAGGAUGUGCAGGGAUGCUGGGAGCCAACACCAGCCUGCUCGGUGUGAGGACUCUGGAGCCUUGGCUGCGGUCAGAAGGUUGUCCCUGUUGAUCAGACACCAUCUUGGCCUCGUGGUCAGCUCCUGCUGCCCUGUCUGCACAGAUCUGAAGAUAUUCUGUCCAGUACCGUCCAGGAGGGCUGCGCUCUCACAUAUAGAAACGGAGUGGCUGGGAUACCUCCAACCCUCUUCAGAUGGAGUUUUGCUCUUGUUGCCCAGGCUGGAGUGCAAUAGCAAUGGUGCCAUCUUGGCUCACGGCAACCUUCACCUCCUGGGUUCAAGCAAAUCUGCUGUCUCAGCCUCCUGAGCGACUGGGAUUACAGGUGGAGUCUUACUCUGUCACCCAGGCUGGAGUGCAAUGGUGUGAUCUUGGCUCGCUGCAACCUCUGCCUCCUGAGUUCAAGCAGUUCUCCUGCCUCAGCCUCCCAAGUAGCUGGGAUGACAGGUCCCCAGUGUUGCUGAGACCCCAAGGUGGAAGCUCUGGAGUGGUCAGCAUUUGCUCCUCACAUACUGCAAUCACCCCUGGUGGUACAUGGGAAAAUGAGGCAUGGCAUAUGUGCUGACUGUCUCACAGCUACUCGGCUCCUAGUGGCUCUACCUCACUGAAAUCCAAUCAUGGCCAAAGCAAUUUGGGACUAAGCAGAAAACCUUCCCCCAACCCCUCUGCAGAAGCUGGAUUCUUAGUGGGAUGGUCUCUUAAUAAGAAGCUCCAUUUUUCUUCGCUCUGAAUAAAUGAUAUAUGGUUUUACUUGUGAAGCCUGUGCCUACAGCUUCUAUCAAAGUAGUAACAAUACUUUGGAAGGGGAAAGGAAGGUAUAACAUUCUAAGCACCAGUCCAUAUUUCAGAGAAUUCAUAGCUUUUGGAUUUCAUUGUAUUUGGACAAGAAAGGAAAAACAACUUGAGUUAUUUAAAGUUACGUGAAUACACUUACAAAUAAUUAACGUAAGCAUGCGCACACUCCUACUCAGUUUCCGCCCUCAUUUUGAUGUUCCAUAGCGUUGAGCCAAGCCUCCGGGCACCCCCUGCUACCAUGCCAACCACCUUAAAGAGUGUUACCUUUGUAAAAAGAAAAUUCAGUUACUGGGUUAAAAUACUUCUGAACUCAAAACAUUUGGUCUGCCUUGUUAAUGACGUUCGCGUGUACAUUCCUUGCUAGAAGCUUGUCUUGGUAGAAGUGUGUCUGCACCUAAGCAACCUUUGAGGCUGAGGGUGGAGUGGCGUUAGCUUCGGCACCAAGCAGCGUGGUUCCUGUCUCUGAGUGCCCAUUCGAAACACCUGGAAGCUUUUUAAAAGUACAGCUCUCCCAGCCCAGGUAAACUGAUCCUGAAUCUCCAGAGCUGAAGCCUUGGGCACCUGCAGUGAUUGAAACUCCCCACUGUGCUGUGCAUGCACCAGGAGGACUGAGGACUACCCAAGAAGAAACCAUUUUUUUCAGCAAGAUGCUGACAGUCUGGAGUUCCUUGCUCCUUGUAAAGGCAAAACAAGCUACUACUAGAGCGUCUUGAGUAAAAAAAAAUGAAGUGCCAGAUAAAUCACAAGAAAGUUAAAAGAUAGUUCACAUUCUUCUGCCUGUGUUCCUUUUGAAUUAUAUUAGGGACAGGCUUACCAAAUUUGCCUGGAAGACACUACCGUAGGUUUCCAUGAUACUUUAUGAGCUGCCAUUGUUGUUCCUCUACUGAGAACACCCUCCCUGGAUGUGUCUGCCUCUGUAGAGUGAUGCACACAUGACUGUUGAUGCAUUGUGGUCACUGCAUGAAAUUCAGCUCCUCCUUCAUCCCUCUCACUGUCCAUCGCCCUCCCACCACCCAAGCUGAGGUCAGUUAGAUGUCCAUUUGUGAGUGGAGAAGACUUUUCUGGAAGGCUGUUGCAUGGCAGUGGUGCAGAAGUUGAAUAGACAGGUUGGUGCUGUCAGGUGCCUGGAGAGCUCAUUCCCUGCAAUCCUCUCCCUGUCUGGUCCCAGCCCCUUGCCUGCCACCCCCCUCUUCCCACUUCCCCUCCUCUUCCCUGCUCUUCCUCCUUUCUCUCCCUCACUCUCAGUGGGGCAGCUUUCUCUCCUCUGAAGCAGGGUGCCUGCCCACAUGCAGCCCUCAGGGAACACAGCUGCCUCUACCCACCCACCCACAUAGAGAGGAUCCUGAACAAACACCAGCCUCUGCCUCAAAGGGCUUUCAACUCCAGGUCUUGGAUAAUAAACAUUCCACCACCUCUCUGCACAUACCACCCACCCUGCAAGUUCAUGUCUGUCCUCCCUUCACUUAUGCCUCGAGGCUUUUCCUCCCUCCCAGACAAGCCUGGCUUCAUCCAAUCAUGUCUCCAUCAUUUGUUUACUAAGCACCAUGAGCUGGGCACUGGGCCUGUCCUUGUGCAAAGGGGCAAGUCAGAAACCCUUGCAGUAACCUCACAAACAGGCGACAUGGCCAUGUGCCCCAAAUCCAAUCUUCAGUGAAAGCUUCCUCCAAGACAUCCCUAGAGCACAGGGCCCUUUCCCACAGCCGGGCUAUGCUGGGGGCCACUCUGACCCUGGGGUAGGUGGGCGACUGUGGCGUGUGAGUGAGGGGAUGCACUGAGUGUGUGAGGGGUGUGAACAUGUGUGAGUGUGAGUGUGCCGGGGGCCAGGGGCUGUGAGUGCACAUGAGCGUGAAGGUGGGAG